UACGUAGGAUGCAAGCGUUGUCCGGAAUUACUGGGCGUAAAGAGCGCGCAGGCGGCAUUUUAAGUAGGGCGUGAAAUCUCUCGGCUUAACUGGGAGGGGUCGUCCUAAACUGGAAAGCUAACGAGGGCAGGAGAGGAAAGUGGAAUUCCCGGUGUAGUGGUGAAAUGCGUAGAUAUCGGGAGGAACACCUGUGGCGAAGGCGACUUUCUGGCCUGUUCCUGACGCUGAGGCGCGAAGGCUAGGGGAGCGAACGGG
rnacentral:rRNA from 1 species